GACGAACGCUGGCGGCGUGCCUAAUACAUGCCAGUAGAACGCUGAAGGCGGAGCUUGCUUCUCCGGAUGAGUUGCGAACGGGUGAGUAACGCGUAGGUAACCUGCCUGGUAGCGGGGGAUAACUAUUGGAAACGAUAGCUAAUACCGCAUAACAGUAGAUGUUGCGUGACAUUUGCUUAAAAGGUCCAAUUGCAUCACUACCAGAUGGACCUGCGUUGUAUUAGCUAGUUGGUGAGGUAACGGCUCACCAAGGCGACGAUACAUAGCCGACCUGAGAGGGUGCUCGGCCACGCUGGUACUGAGAAACGGCCCAGACUCCUACGGGAGGCAGCAGUAGGGAAUCUUCGGCGAUGGACGGAAGUCUGACCGAGCAACGCCGCGUGAGUGAAGAAGGUUUUCGGAGCGUGAAGCUCUGUUGUAAGAGAAGAACGAGUGUGAGAGUGGAAAGUUCACACUGUGACGGUAUCUUACCAGAAAGGGACGGCUAACUACGUG
rnacentral:rRNA from 1 species